UUUAACUCAGUGCUCUUUGCCAAAGACUGGAAUAUUUUUAGCUCGUUCUGUUGUUGGAUUUGGCUUUUUUAUGUGUGUUUCUGAGGGCUAUUUUUAGCCUCCUCCAUGUUACUCUAGCAGCCUCCUUUGCGUUUUUGUCCUGCCCGCCCGGGCUGGGUUGAACCCUGUCUCGCAGGGAGCCGGGCAGAUUUCUAAGAAUAACCGGGGAGCCUUCGGGGUGCGCUCGCAGCCUCCCGGCCUCGUCCCCACGUGACCCGGAAAGCCUGGCGGAAAACGCGGCUCCCGGGAUGGGAACAGCCGGCCCGGAGAAAACCCACACCCCCCGCGGGCCUGUGGCCCGGUGCACGCGGCCGUCGCCAGGGUUCCCACCGCCCCUUGGAAGUCUGGGCCCGUCACUCGAGCAGGCUGGGGACAGUCUUCGGAAAGUAACUCUUUUCACACCUACUUAGUGUCGGUAACUGUUGCCGAAACACUCCAUCGCGUCAUGGAACUAAUGAGAACGGCGAUGAGAAGCACUUUCAGCAGGAAGGAAGCUUCCAGUUCUCCCACCAGACGGGCCUCGGUCUCCCCAGUUUCCUCCAAAUCACUCCAAGCGUGGCUCCAGGCAGCAGCGCGGCUGGGAAAUCGGGGGCAGGUUCCCUGGUGGGUCCCCUGCCCCCGCCCCGAGAUCUCACGGCCCAUCUGAAUCAGAGAUGACCCUGGGGCUGCCCUGGAAAGGACGACUCCCUGCUCUGACCGCACCCUCGUGGCCGAGGUUACAGCCCCAGCCCCCAGCCCCGCACAACGAUCGCCUAUAGGUGCAGAGCAGAGGAAGUGACCUGGGAACGAGUACUUUAAAGAAAGAACAAUUGCAGCCUGGUUUUUAAAAACCCGCAGUACCCGCUGGCUUCCCGGCAACCCCAAAAGGCUUUCACUUCAGCUGCGGGUGCUGCCUGCUGGACGCGGGCUCCACCAAGCUGGAACCCCUCGCCUCCGAGCACAAUAGGUCCUUGACUCCCCCCAGAGGGGUGGAAACUGGACCCUGGGAGCAGAAGCACGUGGCCCUCCAGCUCCCAGCCCAGGGAGCCCUGCAGGGCCUCCGGUGCCCUCUAGGGCACCCCGUGAAUGGGGGAGGCCGGCAGGGUGUGGGGUCAAGAAACAGCCAAGAGCAGGACGCGGCCCAGGCCCCAGCCCAGUGCAGUUUCUCACAGCUGUCCGUGGCCUGCACGCGAGGAACCACGUGGCCAAGCUGGGGGAACGCGAGACAAAGAUUCCGGCCACCCAGAGCAGCUCCCACCUGACUCAGUUUUGCCUCCAUCUGGAAAGAAAGGCAGGAAGGGGGAGCAGAGACCAGCCGGACCCUGGCAAAGGGGGAGGGUCCGCAGCAGGAACGGCGGUGGAAUGGGGUCUGGCCGUGCCCAGUGGCCUGUUGGGGGGUGGCACAGAUGCUCCCUCCCCAUCCCUGCCUAACCCCUUGCAGGCUCAGCCUCUCCACUCCCAGGGGGAGCCCCGGCCUGCAGCCGGGAGAAAGGAUGGCAGGAAAGCCCAGUCCCCGCCACGGCGAGUGCCCCCUUCCCCAGGUACCCCCACCCCUCACCCCGCGCAGCUGAGCAGGGCAGUGUCUCCUGUGCAGGGGCAGAAAGAAACACUUAAGAACCACAGGAACGGCAAGGAGAGAGAUUGUAAAAUCACCAAUUGCUCAACCAAGUACUUUUUCUCUCUCUCUUUUGAGUUAUAAAUCUCCAGGGGAAAAGAGAAAGGGGAAGAAAGAAAGAAGGAAGACCCGCAGAGAGAAAAAACUGCAGCCCUGCAGAAGGCUGAUAGUGGAGCAGGAAACUGCAGGUGCGGGUGCUGGGCCAUCCAGGGACGGGGUGUCCCAGGGCCCAGCCCCUACACCUCUGACUUGCUCAGACCUUAUUAAAAUAAAAAAAAAAUCUCCUGGCAUUGUAGGUGAAGCAGCCCAUUAGUAAUUAAGCCAUUUUGGAUGUGUGUGUAUGCUUGUGUGUCAUGUAAAAAAUGUACAGUCUCUUUUUUGACUACCUUCCUUUCUGACAUUUUCCCAU